AAGACUGUCAGGGAUCAUUUCUGACUUGAGAACUGUGUUCCCAAACCGUUUGGGCUCACUAACCACGAUGAAGAGAUGGUGAAACUCAUGAAACUCUUUCCUGAGUGUGAAGUGGGCACACAGUCAUGAUUCAUAUGCUGUUUGCCUUUGAGGACCGUUCUUUGUCUCCUUUGGGGGCUUUGAGGGGAAGAGGAUGUGCGGAGUGGA
ensembl:snoRNA U3 Small nucleolar RNA U3